UAAUGGCUCACCAAGGCGACGAUCCCUAGCUGGUCUGAGAGGAUGAUCAGCCACACUGGAACUGAGACACGGUCCAGACUCCUACGGGAGGCAGCAGUGGGGAAUAUUGCACAAUGGGCGCAAGCCUGAUGCAGCCAUGCCGCGUGUGUGAAGAAGGCCUUCGGGUUGUAAAGCACUUUCAGCAGUGAGGAAGGCGGGUACGUUAAUAGCGUNNUCGUUUGACGUUAGCUGCAGAAGAAGCACCGGCUAACUCCGUGCCAGCAGCCGCGGUAAUACGGAGGGUGCGAGCGUUAAUCGGAAUUACUGGGCGUAAAGCGCAUGCAGGUGGUUCGUUAAGUCAGAUGUGAAAGCCCGGGGCUCAACCUCGGAACUGCAUUUGAAACUGGCGGACUAGAGUACUGUAGAGGGGGGUAGAAUUUCAGGUGU
rnacentral:rRNA from 1 species